rnacentral:rRNA from 1 species
AACGAACGCUGGCGGCAGGCUUAACACAUGCAAGUCGAGCGCGCCGCAAGGGGAGCGGCAGACGGGUGAGUAACGCGUGGGAAUCUACCCAUCUCUACGGAACAACUCCGGGAAACUGGAGCUAAUACCGUAUACGUCCUUCGGGAGAAAGAUUUAUCGGAGAUGGAUGAGCCCGCGUUGGAUUAGCUAGUUGGUGGGGUAAUGGCCUACCAAGGCGACGAUCCAUAGCUGGUCUGAGAGGAUGAUCAGCCACACUGGGACUGAGACACGGCCCAGACUCCUACGGGAGGCAGCAGUGGGGAAUAUUGGACAAUGGGCGAAAGCCUGAUCCAGCCAUGCCGCGUGAGUGAUGAAGGCCCUAGGGUUGUAAAGCUCUUUCAACGGUGAAGAUAAUGACGGUAACCGUAGAAGAAGCCCCGGCUAACUUCGUGCCAGCCGCCGCCGUAAUAC